rnacentral:rRNA from 1 species
AGAGUUUGAUCAUGGCUCAGAACGAACGUUGGCGGCGUGGAUUAGGCAUGCAAGUCGGGGGAAUCCCGCAAGGGGGAACCGGCGUAAGGGGCAGUAAGGCAUGGGUACCUACCCUGGGGUUCGGGAUAGCCAUCAGAGAUGGUGGGUAAUACCGGAUGAUGUCGUGAGACCAAAGAUUUAUCGCCCUGGGAGGGGCCCAUGUGAUAUUAGCUAGUUGGUGAGGUAAUGGCUCACCAAGGCUAAGAUGUCUAGCGGGUGUGAGAGCACGACCCGCGCCACUCGCACUGAGACACUGGCGAGACACCUACGGGUGGCUGCAGUCGAGGAUCUUCGGCAAUGGGCGAAAGCCUGACCGAGCGACGCCGCGUGCGCGAUGAAGGCCUUCGGGUUGUAAAGCGCUUUAGUGGGGGAGAAAAGCCCGCAAGGGUGUGAUCUAUCCCAAAAAUAAGCACGGGCUAAGUUCGUGCCAGCAGCCGCGGUAAUUC